AGUGAACGCUGGCGGUAGGCCUAACACAUGCAAGUCGAACGGCAGCACAGUAAGAGCUUGCUCUUACGGGUGGCGAGUGGCGGACGGGUGAGGAAUACAUCGGAAUCUACUUUUUCGUGGGGGAUAACGUAGGGAAACUUACGCUAAUACCGCAUACGACCUACGGGUGAAAGCAGGGGAUCUUCGGACCUUGCGCGAUUGAAUGAGCCGAUGUCGGAUUAGCUAGUUGGCGGGGUAAAGGCCCACCAAGGCGACGAUCCGUAGCUGGUCUGAGAGGAUGAUCAGCCACACUGGAACUGAGACACGGUCCAGACUCCUACGGGAGGCAGCAGCGGGGAAUAUUGGACAAUGGGCGCAAGCCUGAUCCAGCCAUACCGCGUGGGUGAAGAAGGCCUUCGGGUUGUAGAGCCCUUUUGUUGGGAAAGAAAAGCAGCAGGUUAAUACCCCGCUGUUCUGACGGUACCCAAAGAAUAAGCACCGGCUAACUUCGUG
rnacentral:rRNA from 1 species